GGGCUGGAUGCUUCUCAGACAUCUCUACACUACAUACAGUAGAGCCCUCAGCAGGUCAAACACAUUUCUACUGUGCUGGGCAAGGUCAAGAGUCUGGCUGCUAAAAUGAGUGCUGAAGCACUAAUGCUGAGGUGAAGUCCAGAUAGAAGACAGUAGAGAAAUAAUAGCUUAUAUCCUCAAGAAUGAGCCAAUGUGUGAUACAGGCAUCAGAAAAAGGUCUCUUCAUAAAAUGUCUGUUGUAUAAAUGUAGACGUAUUGUUUAAGAAGCAUAAAUUUGUGUAACCUGGGUGCUGGUGCUGAGCUGGGUUGGCACAUGGGCUUGUUACUGAGCGGCUCUGCUGUUGGGCAGCUGAGAGGUACUGCAGGAGCUGUGUCCCAGGUGCCAGCAUCACCAAUGCACAUCUGCAAGGUGUGACUGCAUGGUCAGAGCAUAUAUCUGGCUUCCAGCCUGGGGGCUGCGUGGGAGGCAGGUCAGGAUAGGAUCAGCCUUGAAACAGAGUUUUUUUCAGUGGAUCCAUGCAUGGAGAAUGCUUAACUUGACAUUCAUUAUUGGCUUGCAUUUCUGGCCCUUGUUUUUAAGCACAUAUGAAGAAGCUAGCGCAGUGACGCUUUCCAGGUGACUUGCACUGUAUUUAAAGUAAGUGGAAACUGAAGUGCCUUCACAGGCACUCUUUGAGUUGCCUCUGUACUUGUGUAGAGCAGACAGGUUAAAUUACUUUUGGACACUGCCCAAGCUUGUGUGUGUGCUCUGUGGUUGCUAGCUGUACAGCGGAUACGUGGCUUUGCUCUCCUGUAGUCGCUUUGAUUUUGCUCUUGGGGUAGGUUUUAUGGACAAAGAUAAAAUCUGUGUCUUGGACUGUCUGUACUUUCAACCUAAACCUCUUCAUGGAGGCAGUAAUAAUUUGGGUACACUUACCUUCUGCCUGCUGUGAGAUGAUUGCUUUAGGGGAGGGUUUGCUAUAGAA